rnacentral:lncRNA from 1 species
UAAUAAUAAUAAUAAUAAUAAUAAUAAUAAUAAAUAAAACAUAUAAAAUUUUCUAAAGUAUGCUGAAAUUAAUAUUACAAUCCCUAAAUCUAAUCACAAUUUAUAAAUAACUCAAAUAAAAUAUUCUCAAAUCAAAUUUAAAUAUAAAAUUAACAAAUAAGCAAUAAUACACAUAAUAUAAAACAAACAGUAGUUGAGAAUAUUACUUUCAACACCAAAAUCAUAAACUCAAAUCAGGUCGAGCCCACUUUUCGGAGGGUAUCUUCCAUUUUUCAGCGAGGCUUGAUUGUAACAGAAAAGAGGAGAAGAGAGAGACGGCGUCGAUGUGGGGGUAGUGUCGAAUCUGAGGGUUGGCGGAGUGGGGUGACGCCAUUUUCGUCGGUAGCGGAUUGUCGUCGGCUAUGGUGGUGCGACGUCGGGGAAAGGAGAGGGAUGGUCGGAGCGGCGCGGGGAGGGGAAAGGGAUGAAAGACCAUUGAUAGCCUUAGAAUUUUUGGUGACGUUUUUUUCGAUGGGUUACCCGAUUUUCGCAAUCACCGGCAGAUCUGGAUCUUAAUUUUUUUUUUCAACGAAUUUUGAAUGUUGGUUCACUGGAAAAUAGGGACGGGAUGAUGGUGAUUAAUUGGGAGAGCAUUUUAAUUGACGCUGACAGUGGUUUCACCAUCAAAACAGCGUCAAACACGGACUGUUUUCUCCUCUGUUCAUUUUUCUUUCUCUCGAUUCUCUUCUUUUCUACCAUUUUUUUAAUUUUGGCAACAUACUCAUGUUGCUUAUGAGUUGCUAUUAUGUGUGUGCAUUAUAUAUGUAUCAGUAUAGUGUGAGAAAGAAUGGAGUGUUAAUGAGUGGUUAUAUUUUAUUAUAUCUGCUUUACAAUGAGUAUAUGAAUUAUCUGUGUACACAAAUUAUGCAGUGAGUGUAACAAUUUAACAUACUAGCAUAUUUUUAUUAUCAUGUAUAGCUAUAAAAAAAUAUGUUACUACAUCAUGUUAGUUUCUUUUCAUUAUCAUAAUAAGCACAUUACAAUAUACAUAAGACAAAGACAUUUCAAUAAACUAAUGUAAUAUCAAUUCAUGAUAUAACAAAACUGAUAAAAUAAAAUUCUAGAUUUAAAAGAAACAUGUGAUUGAAAAUAAAGCAGAAAACUUUGAAUAUUGCUUUCGGAAACUUGGAUGCGAAUCAAACUCAACUUCCUUGAUAUUCACUCUUUGUCUUGUUUCUUGUCUGAUGAUUUUUACUGUUAUUCCCCUUCGAUUUUUCCACCCUUUUUUUAAUCUGAUUUUUUGAUGUAAAAAAAAAUACGUAGAAUCCUUUAAAUACAGAUAUUUGGGAGGGAGUAGUUAUUUUUU